rnacentral:lncRNA from 1 species
AACCUUUUCCUGAAGCCCAUCAGGGAGUUGGCUUUUUAAGCACCAGCUGCCUGGUCUCCCUGCUUGGCAUCUGCAAUAAACACUGCCCUUUCCUUCACCACAGCCUGGGGUCACUAGAUUGGCUUUGUGUUUGGAUCCAGGCAGGGGGACCCAGGUUUGGUUCAGUAACAGAAGCUGUGAAGGCGAGAGCAUCCUUAGGUACUAGAGGCAGAGACAAGGCGCCCAGGCGAAGCCCUUGGCGACAUCCCUGCCCUUCCAUCCUCUCUUGUCCCUGCAUCUAGUCCAGACCCAAAUGAGGUCCACUUUGCCUUUAAUCUACAGCCAGAAUCCAACCACCAUCCAUUUCCUCUGAAAAGCAGAGGCCAGACUAUGUAGCAGCUGCCACAUUAAACCUGGCCUUUGGAGUGUCCUAGGAAAAACAUCUUAUGACUUUAUUCUGGUUCCUUACAAUGAAAUUUGUGAACCAGUGACAUGAAAGAGGGCACACUGGUAAAAGCCAUGUCACCCACUGUUUGAUUUUUUAGCUGACAGCACAUCCUCCUCUGCAAAGCCACAAACCCCAUGACUUCUGUGACUCCAGCUCUCUAAUGAGAUAGCGGCCCUUCAGCCUUGAAGCUCUCCUGCUUCUGGGGGUUUUUAACUGCAUGGGGUGCGGGGGGGUUGUGGCAGAGAUUUUCCCACUUCUGCCUCAGGACCCGAAGCAAAUCUGAGCUGCUUCUGCCACUCGCCACUCAGAGGCUGAGGUCAAUGGUUCCACACGGCCCCAGGGGAAGCUUCCUUAUCCAUCUGUGUUCUGGCUUCUCCAUUCUUGAAAAACAGAAAGUAGUUCUUCCCUGAGUCACAUUAUAUUUUUGCGACCGGCAGUAACACCCUGAGAAAUAUCUGUAAAAGUUAGAGGGUUCCAAUCAACGAUGUAUAACAUUAAGCGGUAUGCCAUAUCUCCUUCUGGAAAAGUCUAGAAAAGCAGCAUCAGCUUUCUGGCAAGAACUGCCAACAUGCUUUCCAGAAGGGGACCUCAACACAGAUGUCCCCGUGGGUGAGGACAGGAGGGAAGUGGAUACGUGGUCUAAUUCAGCUCCCCCUUUAGAAGAAUCGUGACAUCCAUUCAUAAGUAGAUGGACUGGAGCUAAGACGACAUUCUGUGGCCCGGGAAACCAGGAAGUCGCCUUGUUCAUGUGUGAGUCAAUCUUGGGGUUUGAUCUCGGUUGACCUGCAAGCACCUGCCUUGUGUUCAGCGUAGGGUGAGCUCGGGGCUGCCCAGCUGCCUGCCUCACACAGCUUGGCUCCCGUGUUAUUUCUGAGAAGCCCUCCCCCAAAACUUCCAACACAGAUUUAGGUUUCUGGGCCUUCGAGCUCUUUAUUUCUUUUCAUGUUGCUUAGCACAUCGAACUGUAGCUGUCGCUUCCACUAAAUGACACAUACCUUGCCGGUAGAUAUGUUUCCCAAUUCAUCUUAAAAGUUCCCAAACCUGACGUGACAGCCACCUGUAUCAGCUAUGGCCAUGCAAAAAACCCCCUCAACCAGCCAGCAAGUAGCAGAGUCCAGAUUAUAACCAGGUCUCCAAUAUGUAUGUUAGAACUCUUAGUCCUGUCCCCUGACUCUUCUAGUGGGUAAUUAACCCCCCCCAAGAACUCUUGAUUGCAGAAGUGACCUCAUGGAG